AGCGAACGCUGGCGGCAGGCCUAACACAUGCAAGUCGAACGAACUCUUCGGAGUUAGUGGCGGACGGGUGAGUAACACGUGGGAACGUGCCUUUAGGUUCGGAAUAACUCAGGGAAACUUGUGCUUAUACCGAAUGUGUCCUUCGGGGGAAAGAUUUAUCGCCUUUAGAGCGGCCCGCGUCUGAUUAGCUAGUUGGUGAGGUAACGGCUCACCAAGGCGACGAUCAGUAGCUGGUCUGAGAGGAUGACCAGCCACACUGGGACUGAGACACGGCCCAGACUCCUACGGGAGGCAGCAGUGGGGAAUCUUGCGCAAUGGGCGAAAGCCCGACGCAGCCAUGCCGCGUGAAUGAUGAAGGUCUUAGGAUAGUAAAAUCCUUUCACCGGUGAAGAUAAUGACUGUAGCCGGAGAAGAAGCCCCGGCUAACUUCGUGCCAGCAGCCGCUGUAAUAC
rnacentral:rRNA from 1 species